rnacentral:rRNA from 1 species
UACCAUGGUGGUAACGGGUAACGGGGUGUUAGGGCACGACACCGGAGAGGGAGCCUGAGAAACGGCUACCACAUCCAAGGAUGGCAGCAGGCGCGCAAAUUACCCAAUCCCGACACGGGGAGGUAGUGACAAUAAAUAACAAUACGGGGUUCUUUAGGAUCUCGUAAUUGGAAUGAGUACAAUUUAAAUCUCUUAACGAGGAACAAUUGGAGGGCAAGUCUGGUGCCAGCAGCCGCGGUAAUUCCAGCUCCAAUAGCGUAUAUUAAAGUUGUUGCAGUUAAAAAGCUCGUAGUUGAAUUUCGGGGUCAGUAGGUCGGUCGUGCCACUGGUAUGAACUGGUUUUACUGAUUCCUCCCUCUUGAAGAACUGUAAUGCCAUUAAUUUGGUGUUGCAGGGAAUCAGGACUGUUACUUUGAAAAAGUUAGAGUGUUUAAAGCAGGCUUUAGCUUGAAUACAUUAGCAUGGAAUAAUGAAAUAGGACGUUUGAUCCUAUUUUGUUGGUUUCUAGGAUUGACGUAAUGAUUAAUAGGGAUAGUUGGGGGCAUUAGUAUUCAAUUGUCAGAGGUGAAAUUCUUGGAUUUAUUGAAGACUAACUACUGCGAAAGCAUUUGCCAAGGAUGUUUUCAUUAAUCAAGAACGAAAGUUAGGGGAUCGAAGACGAUCAGAUACCGUCGUAGUCUUAACCAUAAACUAUGCCGACUAGGGAUCGGAUGAUGUUAAUUUUUUAAUGACUCAUUCGGCGCCUUACGGGAAACCAAAGUGUUU